rnacentral:rRNA from 1 species
AGAGUUUGAUCAUGGCUCAGAUUGAACGCUGGCGGCAUGCCUUACACAUGCAAGUCGAACGGCAGCAUGAUCUAGCUUGCUAGAUUGAUGGCGAGUGGCGAACGGGUGAGUAAUACAUCGGAACGUGCCCUGUAGUGGGGGAUAACUAGUCGAAAGAUUAGCUAAUACCGCAUACGACCUGAGGGUGAAAGUGGGGGACCGCAAGGCCUCAUGCUAUAGGAGCGGCCGAUGUCUGAUUAGCUAGUUGGUGAGGUAAAGGCUCACCAAGGCGACGAUCAGUAGCUGGUCUGAGAGGACGAUCAGCCACACUGGGACUGAGACACGGCCCAGACUCCUACGGGAGGCAGCAGUGGGGAAUUUUGGACAAUGGGCGAAAGCCUGAUCCAGCAAUGGCCGCGUGUGUGAAGAAGGCCUUCGGGUUGUAAAGCACUUUUGUCCGGAAAGAAAUGGCUCUGGUUAAUACCUGGGGUCGAUGACGGUACCGGAAGAAUAAGGACCGGCUAACUACGUGCCAGCAGCCGCGGUAAUACGUAGGGUCCAAGCGUUAAUCGGAAUUACUGGGCGUAAAGCGUGCGCAGGCGGUUGUGCAAGACCGAUGUGAAAUCCCCGAGCUUAACUUGGGAAUUGCAUUGGUGACUGCACGGCUAGAGUGUGUCAGAGGGGGGUAGAAUUCCACGUGUAGCAGUGAAAUGCGUAGAGAUGUGGAGGAAUACCGAUGGCGAAGGCAGCCCCCUGGGAUAACACUGACGCUCAUGCACGAAAGCGUGGGGAGCAAACAGGAUUAGAUACCCUGGUAGUCCACGCCCUAAACGAUGUCAACUAGUUGUUGGGGAUUCAUUUCCUUAGUAACGUAGC